rnacentral:sRNA from 1 species
CCCUAGCCCCGAUAGUAGUAAAAAUCCUUUUGUGCCGGUCCCGAUAGCUAUCGGGAGAAACAAAAGAUUGGAACGGACAGCGGGAAAUAGC